UCUUUGCCCUUUGCAAAUCUCAGCACCAUUUCCUCCAGAGCAGCUCCUGGAAUUUUCGAUGGGAGCUGUCACCUGGAACCAGCGAGCUUUCUCUUUCAUACCUGUCAUAGAAGGAGCUCACUUCUCACGAAGACCCGCCCAUUUUACCCCCGACCCCGCUGUGACGUUAGGGAAAGUUUCCUUCUCUAGAAGUGUCUAGAAACAUGCUUGGCUUUAACUAAUGCAUCUAGAGUGUCCCAUCUGUUUAACAGCACUUUGCUCAAGGAGCCCACGUACUUGUGUUCCACUUCCUGCCUUGGCGACAGUCUCCGCAGGACAAGCCCGGCCCAUCGCAGAAGCCCCGUGUCCUGUAGAUGAAUGAGAACUUAGACAGCUAACAUUCUACCUGAUGCUGGAACUCAAGGUCCUUGACAAAUGACCAUGUAGCUUACAUUCUGAGAAGUGACAGUGACCUCUCCAUUGUUGGAGAGUGCCAUUUCCAAUUCUGAGCACUUUAGUUUGUUAGAAAGCUUUUUUCAGCAAGUUGUUUUCGUCUAUUGAACUCAAAAUCAACCUCCUUGCCACUUCCUUCCUUAUUUACUUCCUCUGUCUUUCCCUUGACAUUUACUCACUCUUUGCUCCUCUUCUGUCUUGUCCUAAAAUAAAACCGAUUUAUUCCUUCGUCCUCACAACACCUCCUCAUAAAUUGCCCAGUCUCAGGUAGUUCUUUUUUUUUUUUUUUCUUUUUUGAGACAGAGUCUUGCUCUUUUGCCCAGGCAGGAGUGCAAUGGCACAAUCUCAGCUCACUGCAACCUCCGCCUCCUGGGUUCAAAUGAUUCUCCUGCCUCAACCUCCUGAUUAGCUGGGAUUACAGGCAUGCACCACCAUGCCUGGCUAAUUUUUGUAUUUUUAGUAGAGAUGCGGU
rnacentral:lncRNA from 1 species